rnacentral:piRNA from 1 species
UAAAUUUGAAGUAAAAUUACU